rnacentral:lncRNA from 1 species
UUUUGGAAGAGCUGCAAUACUGAAAAUGUGAAACUUCCUUCAUGAAGCUGACAAAACUGUUUGGCCCACGUGCCCUCAACUAGUUGGAGGCACCUGACCUACUAAGCCUAGAGGAGCUUUCUCGCCCAGCUGCAGAUUCAAACCAACACUGCCUUCCUUCCUUCCUUCCUUCGCCAGCAGAGAGACAACGGGCAGUUCAUCCCAUCUUAGAACAUGUGGGAAAACAGUCUCCUGCAGCAUCCCGGUGCUGGGGGUCCAUUUCCGAGGCUUUGAAGUGGCCAACCUCUCACCUCAUCUCAUACACAUGGAAAUCAGAUCACCAGGAGAAGGAGCAAGCUUGUAAAUCCCACGAAGAAGCCAACAGGGCAGCAAGUCAAUCCAUUUCUCUUUCAAGAGUGAGAUAGCGUGGCUGGACGAUACAUACCAAAGAGCCCUUUGAGCUUGCCUUCCUCACAUUUCAGGAAAAGGUGAGAAAAAAAUCUUUUUCUUGUUAAUGAAAAUUCAUUUUUUCUUUCUUUUUUUUUUUUUUUUUUGGUAUGCUCCUUCAUUCAUUUUUUUUUGAGGCCUUCCACCUCUGUUAACUGUGGGAAAAGGCUUCCCUUUGCUAGAGUACAGCAUGCAUUGUAAAAGUAAUUCAAUUUUACACCAUAGCAAUGACACGAUCAAGGGAACGUUGAGCAAACUUUGUGACCAAGAGCAUUUAACAACUACGUGAAAAGCUCCCAAAGAGUCCUCCUGAAAGAAAGAAAGGUUGUAACAAUAGGAGAGAUUGGUCGAUAGUGGUAAAUUAAGAGUCAUACUAGUGACUCUAAUCAGGUUAGACUUUAAAGAGAAGAACCUUUACAUCUCUUGAGCGUAGGCCUGACUGCAUUAAAAACUCUUCAAUGUGCGUUGAGAAGUGCGCAACCCCCUCUGAUGCUCAGCACUUGCUCCUCCUUGGGUUGAAGCAUUCAGCCCUGCAAGGGACAAAGACAUCCUAGGCAAAAAAUGUCAAACUGCAAAUUUGGACCAGAAGU